AGUAGUUUGAUCAGUCGGCUACGAGGACGAACGCUGGCGGCGUGCUUCAUACAUGCAAGUCGAACGAGAAGCUAGAGCUUGCUCUAGUGGAAAGUGGCGGACGGGUGAGUAACACGUAGGAAACCUGCCUUUUAGUGGGGGACAACAGAGGGAAACUUCUGCUAAUACCCCCAUAUGAGCGUAGCUGAAAUGCUAUUCUUGAAAACUCCGGUGCUAAAAGAUGGGCCUGCGCCUGAUUAGCUUGUUGGCGGUGUAAUGGACCACCAAGGCGACGAUCAGUAGCUGGUUUGAGAGGAUGAUCAGCCACAAUGGGACUGAGACACGGCCCAUACUCC
rnacentral:rRNA from 1 species